rnacentral:rRNA from 1 species
UACGUAGGUGGCAAGCGUUGUCCGGAAUUAUUGGGCGUAAAGCGCGCGCAGGUGGUUUCUUAAGUCUGAUGUGAAAGCCCACGGCUCAACCGUGGAGGGUCAUUGGAAACUGGGGAACUUGAGUGCAGGAGAGAAGAGUGGAAUUCCACGUGUAGCGGUGAAAUGCGUAGAGAUGUGGAGGAACACCAGUGGCGAAGGCGGCUUUUUGGUCUGUAACUGACGCUGAGGCGCGAAAGCGUGGGGAGCAAACAGG